rnacentral:lncRNA from 10 species
UGAGUCCGGGAAAGGAUGGGGUAGUUUGUAGGGCAAAGGUCCUUCUGCCUCUGACCUGGUUCCUGGAUAGCUUUGCCAAGAGGGGCCAGGUCAGGUCUCUCACGGGAGGGAUCAGCAGCCCCUCACUCUUCAAUGAUCACAUUCAAAAUCUACGUGGGGGGUUGUGUUGAGAUCUCAAAGGGGAGAAGGAGGAAGCCUCCAUGCACUCCAGGGGGAACGGAGACCCUCAACCUUGUUCCAUCUCCCCUUCCUUCCUGCCCCAAACCCAAGCAGCUGCAACAUUCCACUCCACGCCCAGCAGGCACGGGGUCCGGCUAGGAUUCUGUUUCUUGGGAGAGACGGGCCACGGGACUGCGUCCUGGUUUUCAGGGGCCUGGGGCGCCUGACUCUACCACCCGCGCUGUGGAGGCCGAGAUGAACCCAAACCCAGGCUUUGGAGUCAGCAGAGCCAGCUGGGGCAUCAGCCUCCCACUGGCGUCUGUGUGACUUUGGGCAAUUCUCUUGACCUCUCUGAGCUUCGGUUUUCGGUCUCUCUGAAAUGGGAGGAACCAACUAGACCAGCGUCUCAAUCCCUGGACUCAAGCCUUGGACAUCUCAAGUGGGCUGUCUGGAGCCCCCUACACUGGGCCCAGGUGGAUCUUAUCAAUUCACUCAACAAAUAUUUGCUGAACUCCCAUCUGGGCUGGCUCUGCCUGUGAGGCUAGGAACGUCAAAAGGAACCCAGGCAGCCAACCCUCCAGGACCUUGGGGUGGUGUGAAGGCCCCAGAUUUCUGAAAGUGGAACAAAGCCAGACCCUGUGGCCGCCACCUUCUGGCCAACCUCAGAUGGAGCCUUCCAGACACAUCAACUCCCAGGGCUGUGGAAAGAAAAGAUGGAGUCUCUACCUGGCCGGUGCCAUGACACCUGCACACGUGGCAACAAAGAAAAGGGAAGAGAAAGACUCCAUGUUGACUCUACCUGGCUCCCAGGUAUCCCUUCUCUAUCGGCACGGCUGCCGACUUCGCCUGUGCAAGUUUCCAGCUUGCUUACCUAUGCUUGCAGCUUGAUUUUUCAGGCCGCUUUUUGUUAGAAAAGAAAUUAGUUGGGGGCUGCUUUAUUAUUAAAAUAAAAACCUUACUUUCUGUACUCUCACUAACUGCCUAAAUAAUUUCUUUUUAACUCCUAUAUCAGCGGGAGGAUUGCUUGAGCCCAGGGGUUGGAGACCACCCUCGGCAACACAGGGAGACUCCGUCUCUACAAAACAUUAAAAAAUUGCCAGGCGCAGUGGCUCAUGCCUGUAAUCCCAGCACUUUGGGAGGCCGAGGCGGGUGGAUCACGAGGUGACGAGAUGGAGAUCAUCCUGGCCAAUAUAGUGAAACUUCAUCUCUACUAAAAAUACAAAAAUUAGCCGGGCAUGGUGGUAGGCACCUGUAGUCCCACCUACUCGGGAGGCUGAGGCAGGAGAAUGGCGUGAACCCGGGAGGCAGAGCUUGCAGUGAGCCAAGAUCGUGCCACUGCACUCCAGCCUGGGCGACAGAGCCGAGACUCCGUCUCAAAAAAAAAUAAAAAAUAAAUAAAGUUAGCCAGGCAUGGUGGCGCAUACCUAUAGUCUAAGCUACUUGAGAGGCUGAGGUGGGAGGAUCACUUGAAACUGGGAGGUCGAGGCUGCAGUGAGCCAUGAUCACACCACUGCACUCCAGCCUGGGCAACAGAGUGAGACCCUGUUUCAAAAAACAAAAUGGGCCAGGCACAGUGGCUCACGCCUGUAAUAGCAGCACUUUGGGAGGCUGAGGUGGGUGGAUCACCUGAGGUCAGGAGUUCCAGACCAGCCUGGCCAACAUGGUGAAACCCCAUCUCUACUAAAAAUACAAAAAUUAUGGCAGGGUGCAGUGGCUCACACCUGUAAUCCCAGCACUUUGGGAGGCCGAGGCGGGCGGAUCACCUGAGGUCGGGAGUUCAAGACCAGCCUGACCAACAUGGAGAUACCCCGUCUCUACUAAAAAUACAAAAUUAGCGAGGUGUGGUGGCUCAUGCCUGUAAUCCCAGCUACUCCGGAGGGUAAGGCAGAAAAAUUGCUUGAACCCGGGAGGUGGAGGUUGCGGAGAGCCAAGAUCAUGCCAUUGCACUCCACCCUAGGCAACAAGAGUGAAACUCCGUCUCAAAAAAAAAAAAAAAAAAAAAAAAAUUAGCUAGGCAUGGUGGCCUGCCCCUGCAAUCCCAGCUGCUUGAGAAGCUGAGGCAGGAGAAUCGCUUGAAUCCAGAGGCGGAGGUUGUGGUGAGCCGAGAUUGCAUCAUGGCACUCCAGCCUGGGCAACAAGAGUGAAACUCCAUCUCAAAAACAAAAAGAAAACCCACAUAUACACCUUGAUUUAAUACUUCCCAAGAGCUAUUCGUUUGGCCCUAUGUCUGUGACAGCUGGAAAGAAUGCUUUAUAAAAGAAAGAAGAGGCUGGGCGUGGUGGCUCAUGCCUGUAAUCCCAGCACUUUGGGAGGCCAAGGCGGGUAGAUCACGAGGUCAGGAGUUCAAGACCAGCCUGGCCAAGAUAGUGAAACCUUGUCUCUACUAAAAAUACAAAAAUUAGCUGGGCGCAGUGGCGGGUGCCUGUAAUCUCAGCUACUCGGGAGGCUGAAGCAGGAGAAUCGCUUGAACCCAGGAGGCAGAGGUUGCAGUGAGCCAAGAUUGCACCACUGCACUCCAACUGCAGCGACAGAGCAAGGCUCCGUCCCAAAAAAAAAAAAAAAAAAAGAGAGAAAAGAAAGAAGAGCGGCCAGGCACGGUGUCUCACACCUGUAAUCUCAGCACUUUGGGAGGCUGAGGCGGGUGGAUCACCUGAGGUCAGGAGUUCAAGACCAGCCUGACCAACAUGGCAAAACCCUGUCUCUACUAAAAAUACAAAAUUAGCCGGGUGUGGUAGUGCAUGCCUGUAAUCCCAGCUACUCGGGAGGCUGAGGCAGGAGAAUCCCUUGAACCCGUGAGGCAGAGUUUGUGGUGAGCCAAGAUCGUGCCAUUGCACUCCAGCCUGGGCAACAAAAGUGAAACUCUGUCUCAAAAAAAAAAAAAAAACGAAAAGAAAAGUAAGAAGAGCAUCCUGGCCAGGCGCGGUGGCUCACGCCUGUAAUCCUAGCACUUUGGGAUGCCAAGGAGGGUGGAUCACAUGAGAUCAAGAGUUUGGGACCAGCCUGGCUAACAUGGUGAAACCCCAUCUCUACUAAAAAUACAGAAAUUAGCCAGGUGUGGUAGCGGGCGUCUGUAAUCCCAGCUACUUCGGAGGCUGAGGCAUGAGAAUCGCUUGAACCUGGGAGGCAGAGGCUGCAGUGAGCCGAGACAGCGCCAUUGCACUCCAGCCUGGUGACAAGAGCAAAACUCCAUCUCAAAAAAAAAAAAGCUUUAGAGCAGGAAUGAAAGGAAGUAAAGUACACUUGGAAAAGGGCCAAGCGGGUGACUUGAGAGAUCAAGUAAGCAGUUUGGCCUUUUGACUUGGGGUUUUAUAUGUUGGCAUGCUUCCGGGGUCUUGUGUCCCUUCUCCCCUCAUUCUUCCCUUGGGGUGGGCUGUCCGCAUGCGCAGUGGCUGCCAGCACUUGGGAGGUGAGCAUGCACAGUGUGUUUCCUGGAGCUGUGCACGUGUUCACUUGAGGCAUUCUUCCCUUAACAGUCAAAUGCCCCUAGAAGUUCAUAUACCAGUUAAGCCCUACCAUUUUGCCUCUUAAUGCACAUGCUCGAGCCUACUUGUCCAGCUCCUGAGAUCUUAUCAGGAAGCUGCUGAUCCCCAGUUUCAGGUGUUCCUGUUUAUUAGGAGACUGCUUUCUCUGCUGCCUGGUGCUGAGUCACAGUGUCUGGCACCCACAUUAUUUUUUGAACAAUUAUUAUGUUAGAGAGACAGUUAACAACCGCUUAACCAUUACAUGAUGGUGGCGGACAUUCCUGGUUGGGGGGGCCCUCUCCUGCUGUGCUCAUGCCUGACUAGCUACCUACUGUAACAAGACCCCGUCCCUAAAAAAUUGAAAAGAAAAAUAAAUUUAAAAACUAGGCCAGGCAUGGUGGCUCAUGCCUGUAAUCCCAGCACCUUGGGAGGCUGAGGUGGGAGAAUUGCUUGAGCCCAAGAGUUUGAGACCAGCCUGGGCGACAUGGCAAAGCCCCAUCUCUACAAAAAAUACAAAAAUUGGGCUGGGCACGGUGGCCCACGCCUGUAAUCCCAGCACUUUGGGAUGCCGAGGUGGGUGGAUCACUUUAGGUCAGGAGUUCAAGACCAGCCUGGCCAACACGGCGAAACCUCGUCUCUACUAAAAAUAAAAAAAUUAGCCGGGUGUGGUGGUGG